rnacentral:lncRNA from 1 species
AUCACGAUAUGUGCCAUAUCCGAGCUAGCGUCGGCGGAGAUGCAAACAAAGUAAGAGAGAGGAGCGCGACGUUGACGUUAGGGUGGUGGAAGAGGAAGACAAAUAAGAGAAAAUGGAAGGAGAAAGAAAGGAAGAAACGACGAUGAAGAAGAAGACGAAUUGUAUGGAAAAAGACAAGCGUAAAAAACAAGGGUAAAUUUCAAAUACCAUCCCGGUGGUUUCGUACUUUCUCACUUUAGUACCCUGUAGUUUAAAGUGUAUUAAUUUCGUACCUUGUGGUUUCACUUUUCUCUUUUCGUCAACUCCUCCGUUAACAUUUCGUUAAAUUAUAUAAAAAAAAAAACUUCGGAUACCCUGCCUAGGUUUAUCGAAUAUUCACUUUAAUAUCUUUUUGUUCACUGAUUUAAUAAAAAAAAAUUAGUGGAGGGGAUAAUAAAAAGAGAAAAAUGAAACCAUGGGAUACAAAAUUAAUACAUUUUUAACCACAGAGUAUUAAAGUGAAAAAGUGAGAAACCACAGAGGUGGUAUUUGAAGUUUUUUCAAAAAUAAGAAGAGAAAGAAGAAUAAGGAUAUUUUUAUCAAUUUAUUAAAAAUUUGAAUCAAAUUUAUGAAAUUAAAAACAGCGGCAUAUUUUUAUAAAAUCUCAAAAUCAAUAAAUUUUUUUUUUUUUGUAAAUUGGCAACUAACUUUCUUAGCAUUUAAUAUUUUUUACUAUUU